rfam:Capsicum annuum cultivar Zunla-1 chromosome 12, whole genome shotgun sequence
ACUUUAUGCUUAGGGAAUUACAUGAGCUAGUCAUUAAACCUUUCCCAUACUUCAUACAAAGGCUCUCCAGUGAGUUGAUAAAUAUUUGUGAUCUCAUUCCAUAAAUGC